rnacentral:rRNA from 1 species
AAUGAACGCUGGCGGCGUGCCUAACACAUGCAAGUCGGAUGUGCCGCAAGGUGCAUGGCAGACGGGUGAGUAACGCGUAGGGAAUCUACCUUUUUGUGGGGAAUAACGCUCCGAAAGGAGUGGUAAUACCGCAUGAGACCGUGAGCUGGGAUGUUCACGGUGAAACCUGGGGACCGCAAGGCCUGGGGCAAAAAGAGGAUCCUGCGUCUGAUUAGCUAGUUGGCGGGGUAAUGGCCCACCAAGGCGACGAUCAGUAGCCGGCCUGAGAGGGUGAUCGGCCACACUGGAACUGAGACACGGUCCAGACUCCUACGGGAGGCAGCAGUGGGGAAGUUUGCGCAAUGGACGAAAGUCUGACGCAGCAACGCCGCGUGGGUGAUGAAGGUCUUCGGACUGUAAAACCCUGUCGUCAGGGACGAAGGUGGCAGUGUUAAUAGCGCUGUUACUUGACGGUACCUGGAGAGGAAGCCCCGGCUAACUCUGU